CGAACUUCCGUUAAUUGAUUAUGACGUACUUGUACUGAUUGAGAUUUUAACACGAAGUGAGUGGCGAACGGGUGAGUAACACGUGGGUAACCUGCCCAGAAGUAGGGGAUAACACCUGGAAACAGAUGCUAAUACCGUAUAACAGAGAAAACCGCAUGGUUUUCUUUUAAAAGAUGGCUCUGCUAUCACUUCUGGAUGGACCCGCGGCGUAUUAGCUAGUUGGUGAGGUAAAGGCUCACCAAGGCAGUGAUACGUAGCCGACCUGAGAGGGUAAUCGGCCACAUUGGGACUGAGACACGGCCCAGACUCCUACGGGAGGCAGCAGUAGGGAAUCUUCCACAAUGGACGCAAGUCUGAUGGAGCAACGCCGCGUGAGUGAAGAAGGGUUUCGGCUCGUAAAGCUCUGUUGUUAAAGAAGAACGUGGGUAAGAGUAACUGUUUACCCAGUGACGGUAUUUAACCAGAAAGCCACGGCUAACUACGUGCCAGCAGCCGCGGUAAUACGUAGGUGGCAAGCGUUAUCCGGAUUUAUUGGGCGUAAAGCGAGCGCAGGCGGUCUUUUAAGUCUAAUGUGAAAGCCUUCGGCUCAACCGAAGAAGUGCAUUGGAAACUGGGAGACUUGAGUGCAGAAGAGGACAGUGGAACUCCAUGUGUAGCGGUGAAAUGCGUAGAUAUAUGGAAGAACACCAGUGGCGAAGGCGGCUGUCUGGUCUGCAACUGACGCUGAGGCUCGAAAGCAUGGGUAGCGAACAGGAUUAGAUACCCUGGUAGUCCAUGCCGUAAACGAUGAUUACUAAGUGUUGGAGGGUUUCCGCCCUUCAGUGCUGCAGCUAACGCAUUAAGUAAUCCGCCUGGGGAGUACGACCGCAAGGUUGAAACUCAAAAGAAUUGACGGGGGCCCGCACAAGCGGUGGAGCAUGUGGUUUAAUUCGAAGCUACGCGAAGAACCUUACCAGGUCUUGACAUCUUCUGACAGUCUAAGAGAUUAGAGGUUCCCUUCGGGGACAGAAUGACAGGUGGUGCAUGGUUGUCGUCAGCUCGUGUCGUGAGAUGUUGGGUUAAGUCCCGCAACGAGCGCAACCCUUAUUACUAGUUGCCAGCAUUAAGUUGGGCACUCUAGUGAGACUGCCGGUGACAAACCGGAGGAAGGUGGGGACAACGUCAAAUCAUCAUGCCCCUUAUGACCUGGGCUACACACGUGCUACAAUGGAUGGUACAACGAGUCGCGAAACCGCGAGGUUAAGCUAAUCUCUUAAAACCAUUCUCAGUUCGGACUGUAGGCUGCAACUCGCCUACACAAA
rnacentral:rRNA from 1 species